UUUGGAAAAAGGCAAACCUAUAGAAAUAUAGGGACGCAAAGCCACAGGUCUAAGGAAGUGAUGCUUCUAUGACGGCUGGGCUGCCCGG
rnacentral:ncRNA from 2 species